GACGAACGCUGGCGGCGUGCCUAAUACAUGCAAGUCGAACGAAGCUGUUUUAACUGGUGCUUGCACCGACUUAAACAACUGAGUGGCGAACGGGUGAGUAACACGUGGGUAACCUGCCCCAAAGCGGGGGAUAACAUUUGGAAACAGAUGCUAAUACCGCAUAACCACAGAAACCACAUGGUUUCUGUGUCAAAGAUGGUUUCGGCUAUCACCUUGGGAUGGAUCCGCGGCGUAUUAGAUAGUUGGUAAGGUAAUGGCUUACCAAGGCAAUGAUACGUAGCCGAACUGAGAGGUUGAUCGGCCACAUUGGGACUGAGACACGGCCCAAACUCCUACGGGAGGCAGCAGUAGGGAAUCUUCCACAAUGGACGAAAGUCUGAUGGAGCGACGCCGCGUGAGUGAAGAAGGUUUUCGGAUCGUAAAACUCUGUUGUCAGAGAAGAACGUGUGCGAGAGUAACUGCUCGUGCAGUGACGGUAUCUGGCCAGAAAGCCACGGCUAACUACGUGCCAGCAGCCGCAGUAA
rnacentral:rRNA from 1 species